rnacentral:rRNA from 1 species
UACGUAGGGUGCAAGCGUUAAUCGGAAUUACUGGGCGUAAAGCGUGCGCAGGCGGUUCGUUGUGUCGGAUGUGAAAGCCCCGGGCUCAACUUGGGAAUGGCAUUUGAAACUGGCGGGCUGGAGUGUGGCAGAGGGGGGUGGAAUUCCACGUGUAGCAGUGAAAUGUGUAGAGAUGUGGAGGAACACCGAUGGCGAAGGCAGCCCCCUGGGCUGACACUGACGCUCAGGCACGAAAGCGUGGGGAGCAAAC